rnacentral:rRNA from 1 species
AACGAACGCUGGCGGCGCGCCUAAUACAUGCAAGUCGAGCGAGAAGACGUAGCAAUACGUUUGUAAGCGGCGAACGGGUGAGGAAUACAUGGGUAACCUACCCUCGAGUGGGAAUAACUAGCCGAAGGUUAGCUAAUACCGCGUACGCUCCUUGGACUUCGGUUCAGGGAGGAAAGCGAUACCGUGGGUAUCGCGCUCUUGGAUGGGCUCAUGUCCUAUCAGCUUGUUGGUGAGGAACGGCUCACCAAGGCUUCGACGGGUAGCUGGUCUGAGAGGACGAUCAGCCACACUGGCA